AACGCAUAUUGCGCUCUCUGGUAUUCCGGAGAGCAUGCUUGUUUGAGUAUCAGUAAACACCUCAAAUCUCCUCUUUUUUUUCGAAAGAAAAGGAGAUUGGACUUGAGCAAUCCCAACGCGUUAAGCGAUUUUCGUGGCGGGUUGCUUGAAAUGCAGGUGCAGCUGGAUCUUUAUUCUGAGCUAAAAGCAUAUUUAUUUAAUCCCGUUAAACGGAUUAUUACUUUUGCUGCAGCUAACAUAAAGGAAUAAUCAUCCUCAUGCUGACUGAUGCAGGAAUUUUUUCUUGUGCGAUUUUUUAAACGAAAUCAAACAACAAAAAACAAAACUCGAUCUCAAAUCAAGCAAGACUACCCGCUGAACUUAA
rnacentral:misc_RNA from 1 species